UACGUAGGGGGCAAGCGUUGUCCGGAAUCAUUGGGCGUAAAGAGCGUGUAGGCGGUCCGUUAAGUCGGCUGUGAAAGUCCAAGGCUCAACCUUGGGAUGCCGGUCGAUACUGCCGGACUAGAGUUCGGAAGAGGCGAGUGGAAUUCCCGGUGUAGCGGUGAAAUGCGCAGAUAUCGGGAGGAACACCUAUGGCGAAGGCAGCUCGCUGGGACGUUACUGACGCUGAGACGCGAAAGCGUGGGGGAGCAAACAGG
rnacentral:rRNA from 1 species